rnacentral:lncRNA from 1 species
CCAACUCUUGUUCUCGUGAUCCAUGAAGAGUGCAUCCCUACCACAAUAUGUGUUUGUGACAGUUAAAAAAAACUACAAAAAGACACCCCUCUACUAAAAAAUAAAUUUGGUAGCAAUAUAUCGGUAAAAGUAUUUUAAAGGACAAUAUUUAUAAAUAUAAUAUAUUGUGUCCAUUCAAUAAAUUAAAAGUUCCAAAUAGUUUUGUAUAUAUUGACAGGAAAAGCUCAAAUAUAAUUCCAAAA